rnacentral:rRNA from 1 species
CAGGCUUAACACAUGCAAGUCGAGGGGCAUCAGGAAGAAAGCUUGCUUUCUUUGCUGGCGACCGGCGCACGGGUGAGUAACACGUAUCCAACCUGCCCUUUACUCGGGGAUAGCCUUUCGAAAGAAAGAUUAAUACCCGAUAGCAUAAUGAUUCCGCAUGGUUUCAUUAUUAAAGGAUUCCGGUAAAGGAUGGGGAUGCGUUCCAUUAGGUUGUUGGUGAGGUAACGGCCCACCAAGCCUUCGAUGGAUAGGGGUUCUGAGAGGAAGGUCCCCCACAUUGGAACUGAGACACGGUCCAAACUCCUACGGGAGGCAGCAGUGAGGAAUAUUGGUCAAUGGGCGCUAGCCUGAACCAGCCAAGUAGCGUGAAGGAUGAAGGCUCUAUGGGUCGUAAACUUCUUUUAUAUAAGAAUAAAGUGCAGUAUGUAUACUGUUUUGUAUGUAUUAUAUGAAUAAGGAUCGGCUAACUCCGUGCCAGCAGCCGCGGUAAUACGGAGGAUCCGAGCGUUAUCCGGAUUUAUUGGGUUUAAAGGGAGCGUAGGUGGACUGGUAAGUCAGUUGUGAAAGUUUGCGGCUCAACCGUAAAAUUGCAGUUGAUACUGUCAGUCUUGAGUACAGUAGAGGUGGGCGGAAUUCGUGGUGUAGCGGUGAAAUGCUUAGAUAUCACGAAGAACUCCGAUUGCGAAGGCAGCUCACUGGACUGCAACUGACACUGAUGCUCGAAAGUGUGGGUAUCAAACAGGAUUAGAUACCCUGGUAGUCCACACAGUAAACGAUGAAUACUCGCUGUUUGCGAUAUACAGUAAGCGGCCAAGCGAAAGCAUUAAGUAUUCCACCUGGGGAGUACGCCGGCAACGGUGAAACUCAAAGGAAUUGACGGGGGCCCGCACAAGCGGAGGAACAUGUGGUUUAAUUCGAUGAUACGCGAGGAACCUUACCCGGGCUUAAAUUGCAGUGGAAUGAUGUGGAAACAUGUCAGUGAGCAAUCACCGCUGUGAAGGUGCUGCAUGGUUGUCGUCAGCUCGUGCCGUGAGGUGUCGGCUUAAGUGCCAUAACGAGCGCAACCCUUAUCUUUAGUUACUAACAGGUUAUGCUGAGGACUCUAGAGAGACUGCCGUCGUAAGAUGUGAGGAAGGUGGGGAUGACGUCAAAUCAGCACGGCCCUUACGUCCGGGGCUACACACGUGUUACAAUGGGGGGUACAGAAGGCAGCUAGCGGGUGACCGUAUGCUAAUCCCAAAAUCCUCUCUCAGUUCGGAUCGAAGUCUGCAACCCGACUUCGUGAAGCUGGAUUCGCUAGUAAUCGCGCAUCAGCCACGGCGCGGUGAAUACGUUCCCGGGCCUUGUACACACCGCCCGUCAAGCCAUGGGAGCCGGGGGUACCUGGAGUACGUAACCGCAAGGAUCGUCCUAGGGUAAAACUGGUGACUGGGGCUAA